GACGAACGCUGGCGGCGUGCUUAACACAUGCAAGUCGAACGGUAAGGCCCUUCGGGGUACACGAGUGGCGAACGGGUGAGUAACACGUGGGUGAUCUGCCCUGCACUUCGGGAUAAGCCUGGGAAACUGGGUCUAAUACCGGAUAGGACCACUGCCUGCAUGGGUGGUGGUGGAAAGCUUUUGCGGUGUGGGAUGGGCCCGCGGCCUCUCAGCGUGUUGGUGGGGUGAUGGCCUACCAAGGCGACGACGGGUAGCCGGCCUGAGAGGGUGACCGGCCAAACUGGAGCUGAGUUACGGCCCAGACUCCUACGGGGGGCAGCAGUGGGGAAUAUUGCACAAUGGGCGCAAGCCUGAUGCAGCGACGCGGCGUGAGGGAUGACGGCCUUCGGGUUGUAAACCUCUUUCAGCACCGACGAAGCGCAAGUGACGGUAGGUGCAGAAGAAGGACCGGCCAACUACGUGCCAGCCGCCGCCGUAA
rnacentral:rRNA from 1 species